GCUGGGGUGGUGAAAUUGGCAAACACGUAUGCCUUAGGAGCAUAUGGGAGAGUAUCCCUUGCAGGUUCAAGUCCUGUCCUCAGCA
rnacentral:tRNA from 1 species